GCAAGUAUUGGUAACUAUAAACCAGCACAUUUUACAAAGUGCACCAUAUGUGAGAAGGAUGGACACCGCCCUUUCUUCUUCCCAUAUGCUCUCAGAUCCAGAGGCCGUGGAAACACACAAAGUUUAGAUGAAAUAGUAUUUGAUGUCUGACUAACUUGGAAUUUGGGAUUCAAUUAGAUGUGUCAAGAAUAACUGGAGAAUAUCCAAGAUAAAUAAUAAAUUCCCUAAAAUGCAUCAAAAUUGGGAUUGUUAUUGCUUGUUGAUAAUGAUCUGCAAAGAUUAAAAAAUUUAUUUUAUAGCAAAAGAAAAAGUUUAUAGAUGUUCUCAAAUCCUUAAAAUGUAGAAGUUAUUCUGCACAACAGAAUCUGGUAAUUAGUCCAUUUCAGAAAUUGAAAUAAAACAAGUUCUAAUUUUUUUUUUCCUUCUUGCCCAAGAAAAUGUGAGAUAAAUACUAAAACUUUGAGAUAAGAAAAAAAAAUUUUCAAUUCUGUUAUAGCGAGGUCUGGGUAAACAGUUUUCCUAUCACGGGCAUUCAUCCCGCGGAGCAAAAUUUAGCAAUUCGCUCAUCACAUUCCUAAUCGCUAUUAGCAAUUAUUUUUUUUAAUUCUUAUAUUUAAAAUAAAUUAUUUACAAAAAAAAAUUCUUUCACUACUAUA
rnacentral:misc_RNA from 1 species